GACGAACGCUGGCGGCGUGCUUAACACAUGCAAGUCGAACGGAAAGGCCCUGCUUGCCGGGUGCUCGAGUGGCGAACGGGUGAGUAACACGUGGGUGAUCUGCCCCUUACUUUGGGAUAAGCCUGGGAAACUGGGUCUAAUACUGGAUAGGACCAUGCUGUAGGUGGUGUGGUGGAAAGAUUAGUUUCGGUAAGGGAUGAGCUCGCGGCCUAUCAGCUUGUUGGUGGGGUAAUGGCCUACCAAGGCGUCGACGGGUAGCCGGCCUGAGAGGGUGGACGGCAACAUUGGGACUGAGAUACGGCGCAGACGCCUGCGGGAGGCAGCAGUGGGGAAUAUUGCACAAUGGGCGCAAGCCUGAUGCAGCGACGCCGCGUGGGGGAUGACGGCCUUCGGGUUGUAAACUCCUUUCAGCCAUGACGAAGCCCUUGUGGUGACGGUAGUGGUAGAAGAAGCACCGGCUAACUACGUG
rnacentral:rRNA from 1 species